rnacentral:misc_RNA from 1 species
AGAAUAUUCUUACUCCAUUGCCAAAUCUCUCCUCAUCUCCGCCACUCCCUCUGUCUCUCUGUCAUGAAAUUGUAGUGUAGCCUUCCCUCUCUCGUCAAUCCUCCAUUAGCCUCUACCUCCCAUGGCGAAAACCUUAAUUUCGUCUCCGCUGUUCAUCGGCGCACCACUUCCCUCACUCUCUCGCCAUGGGCUCCACGCUCUCCCUAACCGGAGAUUUAUAUCCACAAGAGUCAAGUUCAGCUUGCACGAGAUUCCUCCAAUUACUCAAUUAGACUCUUCGAUUGAUUUCAGUUCGAUUGUUAGUAGAGCCGAAAGCCUCCUUUACACACUCGCUGAUGCGGCCGUUGCGGUGGAUUCGGCCUCCGGUGGUGCUGCCUCCAGUUCAACUGAUGCUGCUGUACAGAAGAAUGGCGGUUGGUUCGGG